GCUCAGUUGGUAGAGCAUGGUGUUUGCAACGCCAGCAUGGUGUGUGCAACGCCAGGGUUGUGGGUUAGAUUCCCAC
rnacentral:tRNA from 1 species